GCUCAACCCCCAGCAUCCCCACAAAUUAUAAUCAAGUAACCCAGUAGGAGGUGGGUGGCAGACUGCAAGAUUUUCAUCCAGACUCUAAGGGCUCUGCCCAACAGAAGCCUUUAGAAAAGUAUUCUCAACCCGUGAGUCGUGACCCAUUUGGGGAGCCCAAACGCCUUUCCACAGGGGUCACCUAAGACUAUCAAAACAGAUAGGUACGUUACAGUUCAUAACAGCAAAAUUACAGCUAUGAAAUAGCGACAAGAGUAAUUAAUGGUUAGGGGUUCACUGCAGCAUGAAGUCGCAGCACCAGGAAGGUUGAGGACCAUUGGAUCUCAAACCGUACAACUUCUACACUAGCGUGAAAACUCACCACAUUAAAUAAAACCCAAACUCAACUGGGCAGACACAGCAGCCACACCUUCCAGUGCUCAGUGGCCACACCUGUCUCUGAAUGGAGUGAUCACAGGAUGUCACCACCGUGCUAUCUAAUGGCACUGUUCUCCCACCUCCUAGCAGCUUACACACACGUCUCCUUCCCCCAUUGGUAACAUCAGAGCUGACAACACCCUGCGAUAAGAACCGCUUACCCUUGUGUCACGUGUUGGGGGUGUUCCAGGUAUACACACGGCCCUACAGCAGCCAUGGUAAUGAGAUCUCCUCACUUUACAGAUGAGGAAAUCAAGACACCGAGAGGGUAAGGCUCUCCCGCCUGGCAUCACGCAGCUAGUUAGGGACUGGGCUGGAAUGAGAGGCUGAGCCACUCAGAAACAGAUCCAACACUUUCGUAGGGCUGGCCUGAGAUUCACACAUAAAUCACCUCGAAGGGAAAACUGACGCACACCCAGCGCUCAUCUAACAAACCUUAGUUGAGACCGCAGCAUUUGGGCUAUAGGCCAGUCACCUGGCUUAGCUCAGGAAAGGUUUGUGUCCAGCUCUGAGCAUUUAAAUCUGAGAAGAAUAUUCAGACUGGAAAGGGGCCUCUAUGCACGAGCCGCUUGAGGGUCUGACCCUUGGCACCCCACAAAAGUAUGGACACACAGACGCACAUAUGUUCGAUGCUAAGGAACAAGCCCCACUGGUCAGGAAGAGUUCAAAGAUGGAGGCUGAACCAGCUUCCACCUGUGCCCUGAGGGCUUCGGGGAGAUGCUGGGUUAGGGAAGCUCUCGGCUUGUCUAUCAGCACAGCCUAGGGCGGAUUCUGGGAUCCCUCCAUGGCAUCGUGCAUCCUAGUACAGGCAGGGGUAUCCUGCAGCCAGCAAAUGCACACAGAACCCAGCCCAGUUCUCAGGUCCGUCCGCUGCCUCCCCCCCUCCCCCAUCCUUCUGGUCUGGCACAGAUGCCUGCCACAGGCCCAUAGGAAACACAGAUUGAGCUGGCGGCAGCCAAGAGAGAGCCUUUCUUCUUGAUGAGAUUAGGCUCAUCAGGAGAGAGAGCCUCCCCCUCCCCCUCCCAACAGCCCAGAGCUGGGGUUAGCUGGCAGGGCAGCUCCAGAGAUGACCAAGGCAUUCCACAAGCUGAGUCCUUCUGUUCACGCCCCGAAGUUCCAGUUGCUGUGUUCUCGGGGAGGGGUCUGUUCUCUCACAUAUAAGCGUAUUCUCCAUUCCUUAUCAAGGAAACGUCUCUGUUUGAUAGACUGAGAACACCACGUAAAACCACAGCCAAUCAAAACGCAAAGUUGUGGAGCCCUGUCUCUAUGGAUACAUCUCCCAAAUACCUCUGUGCUUAAGGCUCAGGGAACACUGUGGAAGAGGGGGCGGAAAGACUCCGUGAGACAAAGGACCAGGGACUUUCCUCUCAGAUUACAUCUCUUAGCAACAGAAGAAGCCACACCCAUGAACUCUGCAACAUGGUUGCUCGAGCCUGAGCUAGACAAAGACGACACUGACGAGUGUUCUAAACCCAACGGAGGAAGAGCCCAGGAGACCUCGAUGCUACACAAAGCAACCUAGGAGAGCUGGCAGUGGAGGAGUGGCUCUCCCCAGGGAAGGGCACACUGGAUGUGCCAAAUGGCCCACCUGAAAGCAUACAUAAAGUAACAUUAUAUGGACUCAA
rnacentral:sRNA from 1 species